rnacentral:lncRNA from 1 species
GUAGCAUUUGAAUAAUACUGAACUUGAUUUCGUAUUAGGCAGCCUCUAUGGGAGGUGUCUGUAUACAUUGAAAGUAGGGAUAUAUUGAAGGAGUGAAGUACUCCUUCAACUGCCAUGGUAUAACAUUCUUCUGAUUUUGGUUCAUGUUUUUAAGCCUGUUGGCUCUAAGAAUUCUUUCUAUUUUAGGAUUAAAAUAUUAAAUUUCUAGUUAUAACGAUCUAC